GCAGUCGUGGCCGAGUGGUUGAGGCAAUGGACUAGAAAUCCAUAGAAAUCCCCGCAUAGGUUCGAAUCUUGUCGACUGUG
rnacentral:tRNA from 2 species